UGGUCCCCUUAAGGUUGUGCUUAAGCACAGG
rnacentral:sRNA from 1 species